GACGAACGCUGGCGGCGUGCUUAACACAUGCAAGUCGAACGGAAAGGCCCUGCUUUUGUUGGGUGCUCGAGUGGCGAACGGGUGAGUAACACGUGAGUAACCUGCCCUUGACUUUGGGAUAACUUCAGGAAACUGGGGCUAAUACCGGAUAGGAGCUCCUGCUGCAUGGUGGGGGUUGGAAAGUUUCGGCGGUUGGGGAUGGACUCGCGGCUUAUCAGCUUGUUGGUGGGGUAGUGGCUUACCAAGGCUUUGACGGGUAGCCGGCCUGAGAGGGUGACCGGCCACAUUGGGACUGAGAGACGGCCCAGACGCCUACGGGAGGCAGCAGUGGGGAAUAUUGCACAAUGGGCGGAAGCCUGAUGCAGCAACGCCGCGUGCGGGAUGACGGCCUUCGGGUUGUAAACCGAUUUCGCCUGUGACGAAGCGUGAGUGACGGUAAUGGGUAAAGAAGCACCGGCUAACUACGUG
rnacentral:rRNA from 1 species